UCCCGGGUUCAAGCAGUGAUCCUGCCUCUGCCUCCAGAGUUGCAGAGAUUAUAGUCACCCACUAUCACAUCCAGCUGAUUUUUGUAUUUUUAGUAGAGAUGGGGUUUCACUAUGUUGGCCGGGCUGGUCACGAACUCCUGACCUCAAGUG